rnacentral:rRNA from 1 species
CAGCCGUAAACUAUGCGCGUUAGGUGUAUCGGUGACCACGAGUCACCGAGGUGCCGAAGGGAAACCGUGAAACGUGCCGCCUGGGAAGUACGGUCGCAAGGCUGAAACUUAAAGGAAUUGGCGGGGAGGCACCACAACGGGUGGGAGCCUGCGGUUUAAUUUGGACUCAACGCCGGGAAGCUCACCGGAUAGGACAGCAGAAUGAUUGCCGGGCUGAAGACCCUGCAUGACUAGCUGAGAGGAGGGUGCAUGGCGUAGACGUCU